rnacentral:rRNA from 1 species
UAGAGUUUGAUCAUGGCUCAGAACGAACGCUGGCGGCGUGCCUAACACAUGCAAGUCGCACGAGGAACGGACCUUCGGGUCCCGAGUAAAGUGGCGGACGGGUGAGUAACACGUGAGCAACGUACCCUGGAGCGGGGGAUAACCAUCCGAAAGGAUGGCUAAUACCGCAUGAGACCACAACCGCGACAGGCGGAAGAGGCCAAAGCCUUCGGGCGCUCCAGGAUCGGCUCGCGGCUCAUUAGGUCGUUGGUGAGGUAAUGGCUCACCAAGCCGAAGAUGAGUAGCUGGUCUGAGAGGAUGAUCAGCCACAGUGGAACUGAGACACGGUCCACACUCCUACGGGAGGCAGCAGUGGGGAAUUUUCCGCAAUGGGCGAAAGCCUGACGGAGCGAUGCCGCGUGUCGGAAGAAGGCCUUAGGGUUGUAAACGACUGUCAGGAGGGAAGAAAUCAAUGACGGUACCUCCAAAGGAAGCACCGGCUAACUCUGUGCCAGCAGCCGCGGUAAGACAGAGGGUGCAAGCGUUGUCCGGAAUUAUUGGGCGUAAAACGUUCGUAGGCGGCCUGUCAAGUCUAAGGUCAAAUGGCGGAGCUCAACUCCGCCUCGCUUUGGAUACUGAUGAGCUAGAGUGUGUCAGGGGUUACUGGAAUUCCCGGUGUAGCGGUGAAAUGCGUAGAUAUCGGGAGGAACUCCGGAGGCGAAAGCGAGUAACUGGGGCACUACUGACGCUGAGGGACGAAAGCGUGGGGAGCAAAAAGGAUUAGAUACCCUUGUAGUCCACGCCGUAAACGCUGAGUACUAGGUGUUGCAGGUAUCGACCCCUGCAGUACCGUAGCUAACGCGUUAAGUACUCUGCCUGGGAAGUACGGUCGCAAGACUGAACUCAAAGGAAUUGACGGGGACCCGCACAGAGUGGAACAUGUGGUUUAAUUCGAUGCA